CCGUACCGAGGGGCGCUGCGACUGUCAGGCGGUUCAUGCCGCCCAAUACAGCCAGGCUCGGACGGCUACCCACAGAACGGCGCCCGGCGAAC
rnacentral:ncRNA from 1 species